rnacentral:tRNA from 1 species
GGGGCUGUGGUGUAGCUUGGUAUCAUUGGCCCUUGGGGUGGGUCCGACCUGAGUUCGAAUCUCAGCAGCCCCA